rnacentral:rRNA from 1 species
GAUGAACGCUGGCGGCGUGCCUAAUACAUGCAAGUCGAGCGAACGGACGAGAAGCUUGCUUCUCUGAUGUUAGCGGCGGACGGGUGAGUAACACGUGGAUAACCUACCUAUAAGACUGGGAUAACUUCGGGAAACCGUAGCUAAUACCGGAUAAUAUUUUGAACCGCAUGGUUCAAAAGUGAAAGACGGUCUUGCUGUCACUUAUAGAUGGAUCCGCGCUGCAUUAGCUAGUUGGUAAGGUAACGGCUUACCAAGGCAACGAUGCAUAGCCGACCUGAGAGGGUGAUCGGCCACACAGCAACUGAGACGCGGUCCAGACUCCUACGGGAGGCAGCAGUAGGGAAUCUUCCGCAAUGGGCGAAAGCUUGACGGAGCAACGCCGCGUGAGUGAUGAAGGUCUUCGGAUCGUAAAACUCUGUUAUUAGGGAAGAACAUAUGUGUAAGUAACUGUGCACAUCUUGACGGUACCUAAUCAGAAAGCCACGGCUAACUACGU